rnacentral:rRNA from 1 species
ACCAGACGAUGCGGGAUCGAAGAUGAUUAGAUACCAUCGUAGUCUUAACCAUCAACUAUGCCGACUGAGGAUUCUUGAAAUUUGUAAAUGAAUUUAAGAGCACUCCAUGAGAAAUCAAAGUCUUUGGGUUCCGGGGGGAGUAUGGUCGCAAGUCUGAAACUUAAAGGAAUUGACGGAAGGGCACACCAGGAGUGGAGCCUGCGGCUUAAUUUGACUCAACACGGGAAAACUCACCAGGUCCAGACAAAGUAAGGAUUGACAGAUUGAGAGCUCUUUCUUGAUUCUUUGGGUGGUGGUGCAUGGCCGUUCUUAGUUGGUGGAGUGAUUUGUCUGGUUAAUUCCGAUAACGAACGAGACCCCAACCUGCUAACUAGACUGCGUUAUUUCACGAUAGCACAGGACUUCUUAGAGGGACAUUUCGGAUUUACCGGAAGGAAGUUCGUG